UGGAAGCGUCUGGAAAGGCGUGCGAUACAGGGUGACAGCCCCGUACACAAAAAUGCACAUAUUGUGAGCUCGAUGAGUAGGGCGGGACACGUGGUAUCCUGUCUGAAUAUGGGGGGACCAUCCUCCAAGGCUAAAUACUCCUGACUGACCGAUAGUGAACCAGUACCGUGAGGGAAAGGCGAAAAGAACCCCGGCGAGGGGAGUGAAAAAGAACCUGAAACCGUGUACGUACAAGCAGUGGGAGCCUCUUAAUGGGGUGACUGCGUACCUUUUGUAUAAUGGGUCAGCGACUUAUAUUCUGUAGCAAGGUUAACCGAAUAGGGGAGCCGAAGGGAAACCGAGUCUUAACUGGGCGUUAAGUUGCAGGGUAUAGACCCGAAACCCGGUGAUCUAGCCAUGGGCAGGUUGAAGGUUGGGUAACACUAACUGGAGGACCGAACCGACUAAUGUUGAAAAAUUAGCGGAUGACUUGUGGCUGGGGGUGAAAGGCCAAUCAAACCGGGAGAUAGCUGGUUCUCCCCGAAAGCUAUUUAGGUAGCGCCUCGUGAAUUCAUCUCCGGGGGUAGAGCACUGUUUCGGCAAGGGGGUCAUCCCGACUUACCAACCCGAUGCAAACUGCGAAUACCGGAGAAUGUUAUCACGGGAGACACACGGCGGGUGCUAACGUCCGUCGUGAAGAGGGAAACAACCCAGACCGCCAGCUAAGGUCCCAAAGUCAUGGUUAAGUGGGAAACGAUGUGGGAAGGCCCAGACAGCCAGGAUGUUGGCUUAGAAGCAGCCAUCAUUUAAAGAAAGCGUAAUAGCUCACUGGUCGAGUCGGCCUGCGCGGAAGAUGUAACGGGGCUAAACCAUGCACCGAAGCUGCGGCAGCGACACUAUGUGUUGUUGGGUAGGGGAGCGUUCUGUAAGCCUGUGAAGGUGGCCUGUGAGGGUUGCUGGAGGUAUCAGAAGUGCGAAUGCUGACAUAAGUAACGAUAAAGCGGGUGAAAAGCCCGCUCGCCGGAAGACCAAGGGUUCCUGUCCAACGUUAAUCGGGGCAGGGUGAGUCGACCCCUAAGGCGAGGCCGAAAGGCGUAGUCGAUGGGAAACAGGUUAAUAUUCCUGUACUUGGUGUUACUGCGAAGGGGGGACGGAGAAGGCUAUGUUGGCCGGGCGACGGUUGUCCCGGUUUAAGCGUGUAGGCUGGUUUUCCAGGCAAAUCCGGAAAACCAAGGCUGAGGCGUGAUGA
rnacentral:rRNA from 1 species